rnacentral:rRNA from 1 species
GCACAAGCGGUGGAUGAUGUGGUUUAAUUCGAUGCAACGCGAAAACCUUACCCACCUUUGACAUGGCAGGAAUCCUAAAGAGAUUUGGGAGUGCUCGAAAGAGAACCUGCACACAGGUGCUGCAUGGCUGUCGUCAGCUCGUGUCGUGAGAUGUUGGGUUAAGUCCCGCAACGAGCGCAACCCUUGCCAUUAGUUGCUACGAAAGGGCACUCUAAUGGGACUGCCGGUGACAAACCGGAGGAAGGUGGGGAUGACGUCAAGUCCUCAUGGCCCUUAUAGGUGGGGCUACACACGUCAUACAAUGGCCGGUACAGAGGGUAGCCAACCCGCGAGGGGGAGCCAAUCCCACAAAGCCGGUCGUAGUCCGGAUCGCAGUCUGCAACUCGACUGCGUGAAGUCGGAAUCGCUAGUAAUCGCGGAUCAGCAUGUCGCGGUGAAUACGUUCCCGGGUCUU